GUUGAAGAUCAGAUGGUUGCAGAUGUGCGGCGCUGCUUCUGAGGCCCCGUGCUGUUCCACCGGUCUAUAUCUCUGUUUUGACCACAUAACAGGAAGUAAAUCACUCCUCGGCAAAUGCAAAAGAAGGAAAGGUUUUUACAACACACUUAUCAAGCUGGGCCUGAUGAUGUGUGCCUGUAGUUUCAGCUACUCAGGAGGCUGAGGAAGGAGGAUGGCUGGAGCCCAGGAGUUCAAGGCUGCAGUGGGCUACGAUCCCAUCACUUUGCUUCAGUGUGGGUGACAGAGAGAGACCCUGUCUCUAAAACAUAAAUAAAUUAGUCCAGGUGUGGUGGCUCAUGUCUGUAAUCUCAGCACUUUUGGAGGCUGAGGUGGGUGGAUUGUUUUAACCCAGGAGUUUGAGACCAUCCUGGAUAACAUGGUGAAACUCUGUUUCUACAAAAAGCAAAAAUUAGGCAGGCAUAGUGGUACAUACCUGUGGUUCCAGAUACUCAGGAGGCUGAUGUGAAAGAAUCACUUGAGCUUGGGAAGUUGAGGCUGCAGUGAGCUGAGAUUGCUCCACUGCAUUUCAGCCUGGACAACAGAGUGAGACCCCAAAUACAUAAAUAAAAUAAAUAAGACACAUAUCAAUACCUUUCUGUGAUUCUUUUCUACUUGUUCACAUAUGUAUGCUCUUUCUCUCCUACUAUACAUAAGCUCCUUGAGAGCAGAGUCUUGGUUUUCUUUUCUUUCUUUCAGUUUUUUUUUUUUUUUUUUUUUUUUUGAGGUGAAGUCUUGCUCUGUUGCCCAGGCUGGAGUGCAGUGGCGCAAUCUCAGCUUACUGUAACCUCCAUCUCCUGGGUUCAAGCGAUUCUCCUGCCUCAGCCUCCAGAGUAGCUGGGAUUACAGCAGCCUGCCACCACGCCCAGCUAAUUUUUUGUAUUUUUAGUAGAGAUGGGGUUUCACCAUGUUGGGCAGGCUGGUCUCGAGUCCUGACUUCAUGAUCCAUCGGCCUCGGUCUCCCAAAGUGCUGGGAUUACAGGUGUGAGCCAGCGCGCCCGGCCGGGUCUUGGUUUUCUUGUUCACUAUUAUCCUGUCUCCCGUUCUGAGGGGUCAGUCUGGUACACUGUGGUCCUUAAAAAUAUGUGUUGACUGAAUGAGUACUUGCACAGGGGCAGCAGUUGGCUCUGUGCAGAAGAUCAACUCUUUCAUAUGAAGUACUUUUAUAAUUCAACAUCGAAUUUCUUCAUUUUAGGCCUGUGUAACAAGAAUAGGACCGGCUCUCUGUUUUGUUUUCCAUUCCCAUGGCAUUCCUUCACUCCCAAAAUAUCUAUUGAAGCCAAAGAUAGAUAAACGUAAAUCACAUUAAAUUCUAUUGACAUUGCUUAUCUAGUCCAGCAGGUCUUACUUCCCAUUCAUCCCUAAUCACAUCAAAUUAAAGUUUAAAAUUGAGAACAUCUGUUUACUGAAGAUACCAUGAAGACAGUGAAAAGGUGUAAAACAAAGUGGGAGAAGAUAGCUGAAAUACAUACUUGACAAAUGACUCAUGUGUAAACUGUGUAAGGGAAUCCCACAUCAGCAUGAAAAGGCAGACAACCCUGUAGGAAAAUGGGAAAAAGACUUGAAUAGGCAGUUCAGCAAAAUGAAUAUCUAAGCGACUAAUAAAUGUGUGUGUUUCGUUUCAGGAGUUGACAGAAAAAUGCAGAUGCACAUUACAAUAUGACACCAUUGGACACACACCAUAAUGGCUAAAAACUUUUUUUUUUUUUUGAGAUGAAAUUUUGCUGUUUUUGCCCAGGAUGGAGUACAAUGGCGUGAUCUUGACUCACUGUGACCUCCACCUCCUGGAUUCAAGUGAUUCUCCUGCCUCUGCCUCCCAAGUAGCUGAGAUUAAGGCAUGCACCACCACGCCUGGCUAAUUUUGUAGUUUUAGUAGAGAUGGGAUUUCUCUGUGUUGGUCAGGUUGGUCUGAACUUCCAACCACAGGUGAUCCACCCACCUUGUCCUCCCAAAGUGCUGGGAUUACAGGUGUAAGCCACUGCGCCUGGACUGCUAAAAGCUUUUUAAAAGUUAGGAAAUACUAAGUGUUGGUGAGAACGUGGGUCAUGGGAACAAUGUACAGUGCUGAUGGCAGAUUUAAUAGAUGAAAUUGUUUGGGAAAUCUGUUUGCCAGCAUGUCCUAUGAUCCAGCAAUUUCACUUCUUGGUAUAAAGCCAACAAAAAUACAUAUGUAUAUGCACCAAGAGACUUGUAAAAGAAGGUGUAUAGCAGCAUUCUUUGCAAUAGUUCCAACUAGAAACAACCCCUUUGCCCACCAAUGGGAGCAUGGCUAAAUAAAUUGGGGUAACUUCACAUAGUAGAAACCUAAGCGUCAAUGAAAGUGAACAAACUGGCCGGGUGUGGUGGCUCACUCCUGUAAUCCCAGCACUUUGGGAGGCCAAGGUGGGCAGAUCACCUGAGGUCAGGAGUUCGAGACCAGCCUGGCCAACAUGAAAGCCCAUCUCUACUAAAAGUACAAAAAUUAGCCAGACGUGGUGGCAGGCAUCUGUAAUCCCAGAGCUCAGGUGGCUGAGGCAGGACAAUCACUUGAACCUGGGAGGCAGAGGUUGCAGUGAGCUGAGAUUGAGCCACUGCACUCCAGCCUGGGUGACAAGAGCGAUACUUGGUCUCAAAAAAAAAAAAAAAAGUGAGCAAACUACAAAUACAUAUAAAAAUCUGAAUGAAAUGCACAAAUGUAAUUUUGAGUAAAAGAAGGCAGAUAGCCAGACGUAAAAGCAUACAUACUGUGUGAGUCUAUCUACAUAGAGUUCAAAAGCUGGACAAACUUAUCUACAUGUUGGAAGGGAGGAUGGUAGUUACCCCUGGGGAGUUGACUUGUGGAUGUGAGCACGUUUUGGGGGCUGGGGGCCGAGGUAUGGGCUGGAAGUGUGGAGUGUCUUCAGCUCAUUGCUGGUUACACAGGAGUGUGUUUGGUUUGGGAGAAAUCGUUGAGCUCUACAUGUAUGACUCAUACAUCUUUCUUCAUGUAUGUUAUAUAUUAACUGAAUGUAUCUAAAAAUAUUUAUGGGGUCCUGCUACAUACAAACUGGACUUGACUCCAGGAAGCCAUCGGAAUCAAGAGAGAGCGAGUUCUUGGCGUCACGGAGCGAUCUACAUUCCAGGUCAUGCCGUGGACCUGCUGGGUGGCCUCAGGACUUGAAGUGGAACCAUACAUUGGCUCUCCUGAGUCUCUACCAUCUUGACUGCAGAUUUGGGACUUCUCAGCCUCCAUAAAUGUUUUUCUUCUCCUAGGAUCCAGUCCUGAGGUCUCAGCUGCCAACUAUUCCUGGAUAAGCAAAUGCUCUCAGGGGAAAGAGUCCUUGAUUCUCCGUGUUCAUGGAGGUAACCAACCACGCUAGUUUGCCUGGGACCGAGCGGAUUCUUGGCACACAGGACUUUCUGCUUUAAAACGGAAAUAGCACCAGGCUUGGUGGCUCAUGCCUCAGUAUUUUGGGAGUCCGGGGUGGGUGGAUCACAUGAGGUCAGGAGUUCGAGAUCAGCCUGACCAACAUGGUGAAGCCCCGUCUCUACUAAAAAUACAAAAUUAGCUGGAUAUGGUUGCUGGCGCCUGUAAUCCCAGCUACUCAGGAGGCUGAAGCAGAAGACUCGUUUGAACCCGGGAGGCAGAGGUUGUGGGUGAGCUGAGAUAGUGCCAUUGCACUUUAGCCUGGGGGACAAGAGCAAAAGUCCACCUCAGAAAAAACAAAACAAAACUGAAAUAGCCCCAGGCCAACCAGGCGGAGUUGGGCACUCUCACAUUAAUAUUCCCCGUUCACUUUGGUACUUUCCUCUCUGGUUCCCCUGUUUCUACUUUGCCAUCCCCCUUUUCCUGGAGAGUCUUUUUUCUUAAGCAUAGCAAGCCCUUGAGACCUGCGGGUUCCACAUUUGCAGAGUCAACAAGUUCUGGAUAAAAAUAUUUAGAAAAGAAAAACCAUAAAAAAUAAUACAACGAUUUAAAAGCCACAAAUAAAAGACAGUACAGCCAUAACUAUUUACGUGGUAUUUCCAUCGGAUUAGGUAUUAUAACUAAUCUAGAGAUGAUUUAAAGUAUAUCAGAAGACGUAUGCAUGUAGCUUAUAUAAGGAACUUGAGCUUCCUCAGCUUUUGGUAUCCGUGGCGGGCGGGAGGUGGGUCCCGCAGCCAGUGCCCCGUGGAUACCGAGGGUUGGUUGUAUUGUGAUACUGUGGGAAAUUUCACUCUGCUUUUCAGAAGCUUUUGUCCAUGGUCUUUGGCCUCCCAGGAAGUAGUGAAAGUCAUAAGAAAACAUUUUGUGGGUAGAGAAAACUGGCGUUUAAAAUUUCAAAUUUUAUCACCCCAGCCCUACAACUGCCGAAAGCUUUCUUGUUUCUCCAGUGCUGCGCCUCCCCUCACGUGUUGACCACCCAGAGUGAAUAAUUUAUUAACACCGCCUCUUUUCUCAUAUGAUAAAAUAAUUUUGAGUAAUAACCAUAUAACAAUCAGAAACAGUUAUUAUUUUCUUAAUUUGUUCUUUGGUCUUACAAUAAAUAACGACUAAAUUUUUAAAUUGUCAAUUAAAUUUUAAAUUGUUAAUUAGAUUUAAUUGUUAAAUUUUUCCAUUUAAUAAAUGCCCUUCAAAUUCAAUAUUUUCCAGGUGAACUUAACUUUGUACAUACUAAACAAAACUAUUACUUCUCAUAGUUAAUGCUCUAUUUUUAUUUUAUUUUAUUUUGAGGCAGAGCCUCCCUAUGUCUCCCAGGCUGGAGUGCAGUGGUGUGAUCUUGGCUCACUGCAACCUCCACCUCCCAGGUACAAGCAAUUCUUCUCCCUAGCUUCCCAAAUAGCUGGGAUUAUAGGUGUGCACCACCAUGCCUGGCUAAUAUUUUUUGUAUUUUUCAUGAGGUUUUAUGAUGUUGGCCAGGAGGGUCUUGAACUCCUAACCUCAGGAGAUCCACCUGCCUCACUCUAUCAAAGUGCUGGGAUUGCAGGUAUGAGCCACCGCACCUGGCCUAUGCUCUGUUUUUAAACUUAACUGUCUAAAAAUUUAACAUAAGUAAAAUCUCCAAGUGGUCUCAUAUAGAAGGAUGGAAUUUAAGUAACUCAAGUUAUUUACUAUCAUUGCUUAUUUGAAAUCUAUUCUUUAAGUGGAGGAAUAUGAAGUAGUGCAGAGGUGGGAGACACACACUUCAGCCCAAAUAAGCGCAGUUGACUUGGAGUCAUUAUGAACUUCCUUUUGAAUGAAUGCCUUUAGCCAAAGUUGUAUAUAUAGUCAAAGCUGACUAUAUGCUUGAGUUUUCUGAAUUAGCUUCUGUGAAGAAUACAAUAUUCAUUAAAAGAUAAGUUUUAAAAUGUGCUAAUCUGAAGUUUACAUUUAUUAUUAAACCUUAACAGUCAGUGCAGCAAUUGUUUAGAACUUAUAAAAAAAAAUUGGGGGACGGGAGUGUUUUUCUCUGUAUUUGUUUAGAGUUACUGACUCAUGGUGAUAAUGAAAAGUAGAUUGACAGUUUUAUCAUUGUUUCUUUUUUUCUUACUUUUUUUUUUUGAGAUGGAGUUUCUCUUUUGCUGCCCAGGCUGGAGUGCAGUGGCGUGAUCUCGGCUCACUGCAGCUUCUACCUGCCGAGUUCAAGUGAUUCUCCUGCUUCAACCUCCAGAGUAACUGAGAUCAUAAGCACGCGCCACCACGCCUGGCUAAUUUUGUAUUUUUCGUAGAGACAGAGUUUCUCCCUGUUGGUCUGGCUGGUCUCGAACUCCUGACCUCAGGUGAUCCGCCUGCCUCGGCCUCCCAAAGUGCUGAGAUUACAAGCGUAAGCCACCACACCCGGCCCUAUUAUUGUUUGUAAGUUCUCCACUAUGUCUGCGUGAACUGUUGCCUGCACCUCGGGCAGACCACUCCCACUGCCCACCCUUAGACUCCACUGUUUUGGAUUUCCCCCCUCAGUUACCCUCUGUCUGGGCGAGUGAAGAUUCUCAGCCUGAGCCCAAUAUCAGUAAUUCCUCCAGGUUGAAACUGCCCAUUUCUGAAUGGUUCUUAUUAUUCUGGAACUGUAGCCUUAUACUUACUUUCUUUGCUUUCACAGUUCUAGAUUCCCUUAAAAAUACUGUUUCUGUAUUCAUCCAGUGUUUUCUACCUGUCAGCACAAAUGCUGUCUUUUUUAUUUUUUUGCCAAUCAGUUUGAGCUUAUGAGGUUGCUCAGGUUACCCUUGAACUGAUGACCUCGCCUUCGCGAGCGCCAUGACCUCCGGCGGGAGCCACUUUGGACCCCCACAAAUGCCGUCUUACUGUGACCUAUUAUAUCUCUCUCAAAAGCAGAAGUCACUACUGAUCUUUUAUAUUUUGGAAUCUCACUGACUGUUCUUAUUAGUCCUAAAACCUUAUCUAUAAAUUCUCUUGGAAAGUUCCCUUCAAUUCCUCUUCUAAUGACAAUUUGAAUGACAAAUGAGGAUUGAUUUUUUUCAGAAUAUAUUUAGCAAAUUAUGUAAUUUUCUCUUUUAAUGUGGUGUAUUAUACUAAAAGGUUUUCCGAUAUGGAACCAUCCUUGCAUUCCUUAGAUUCAUCCUAUCCUUUCAUAAUAUAUUUUCUAAAAUAUUACUGAAUCUGACUUCCUAGUUUUCCAUUUCAUACUUUUGUCUAUUUUUUUAUAUAGAUUUCUUUAAUCGGUAUUAUUCUUAGUGGAUUUCGGUACAAAGGUCUUAUUAGCCUCAAAUGAAUUUGGAUUAUGCCCCACCUUUCUUAUUCUUUAAAGUAAUGUGUAGACCACUGGAUUUACCUGUACCUUAAAGGUUUGAUAUAACAGGUUUCUAAAAUUUUAAGCUCUCAGGGUGCGAUGGUCAGGAGAGGGGAUAAUAUAGAUUUCAUACAAUUUUUAAUGGAUAGUAGACUUUCAAGUCUAACGUUUUUUCUUCUUAUGCCAAUUUUGGCCAUUUUUAUUUCUUUCAAAUUAUUCAUUUUAUAAGUUUCAAAUGUAUCAGUGGUAUGCUGCUUGUAGUAUUUUUGAAAUAAUUUGUAAAAACUCUGCUGUUUUUCUAGUUAAGACUUAUGGUGUACAACUUUCCCUUCUCACUUCCUUUCUCCAUUUUUUUCCUUAAUCAGAUUUGCUCGAGGUUUUUUAAUUAUUAAUUUGUUUAAAAAGUGUGUUUUGUUUGUACGUGUGUGUGUAUGUGUGUGUGUGUGUGUUUUUGAGACAGGGUCUGGCUCUGUUGCCCAGGCUGGAGUGCAGUGGCACGAUCUCGGCUUACUGCAAGCUUUGCCUCGGAGGCUGAAGCCAACCGAGUACUUGGGACUACAGGCACAUGCCAUACCUAGUUAACUUUGUAUUCUUUUUGUAGAGAUGGGGUUUCACCAGGUUGCCCAGGCUGGUGUUGGACUUCCGAGCUCAAGUGACCAGCCUGCCUUGGCCUCCCAGAGUUCUGGGAUUAUAGCUGUGAGCCACCACUCCUGGCCAAAAGUAUUUUUUGUGCUCGUGGAUAUUCUCCAUUGUUUCAAUGUCUUGGGCUCAGAGUGUUGGCAGUUGCCUCUCUGGUAGCCAGAUUUGAGGAUGAGGAGUUUGCCCAAGAGAGACAAUAUUAUAGUAAACAGUAAUUGCGUGGCAUCGUUAGGUCCUUAAGAACAGGCAUGGGGCAUUAUUCAUCCUUUGAUCUCCAGUAUCCAGCACAUGUAGGGAGCUCUGUGAUGCUUUGCAAAUGGAUGAAUGGAAUAGGACUAACAGAGAUGCCAGAAUUGCAUAAAAACCUUGUGACCUUUGGAAUAUCCAACCCUUGAUACCCUCGUUGCCAUCUUUCCAGCCAGUAAACUAGAUUUUAGCAGAGGUGGAAAGACCAUUUGUUUGGGUUACGUCUCCUCAAAUGCUAAAUGGCUCCCUCCAUUGUGGGUUUUGGCUCUAAAUAUAGAGCUUUCCAGUUCUCUUUGUUGGAGGGGACAUGGCUCUAAACCCUUCUCAAUCGAUGGAUAUCAAUCAGUUUCAUUCUGGCCAAGCCAAAUCUACUUAACCCAACUCAAUCUACUUAACCCAACCAAAUCUACUUAACCCAACUCAGUCCACAUCAAGCCACCUGAAAUAAACCUAUAUAACCCAGCUUAGCACAACCUCACCACCGACAGAUACAACCCCAUUCAACUUGACCAUAUUCAGCAAAAACCAAUUGAUUCCAGUUACUUACAAUUUACCACAAAUUACAAUUCAACACGAGGCAACAGACCACUUCUUAUCCCCUAUAACCUAAGUCAGCCCAACACAAGCCAAUCCAAGUCAACACAACUCCCAGCACAAGAUAGUCCCACAACCCAAUGAAAUUCAAUCUAGUGCAAUUUAAUAAACUAUUUCAACAACUCUUCUGUCUGAAGAAGGUAAGGUACUUUGGACACAACACCAAAAUAAUGUUUCGAAAACAUCUCUUUUUUUCUUGCCAUUAGUGUUUAAUGGAACUCUUGAAAUCAUUGUCCCUUCAAACCUCCUUAGUGUAUAGAGCCUUUUCCCCUCUCUGGCCCCCUGAAUCCUCACAACAUUUUUUUUUUUUUGAGACAGAGUAUCACUCUGUCACCAGGCUGGAGUGCAGUGGCUUGAUCUUGGCUUACUGCAAACUCUGCCUCCUGGGUACAGCCUUUCUCAACCUCCCAAGUAGCUGGGACUACAGCCACCUGCCAACAUGUCCAGCUAAUUUUUUGUGUUUUAGUACAGCUGGAGUUUCAUCAUGUUGGCCAGGAUGGUCUCGAUCUCCUGACCUCAUGAUCCACCUGCCUUGGACUCCCAAAGUGCUGGGAUUAUAGGUGUGAGCCACCAUACCUGGCCACAACACUUUAUUUUAUGGAGUUACUGGUCUCAUCUGAACUAGAUUAUGAGUGCUUGGGGGCAGGAAUGAUGUCAAAUUCAUCUACCUUCUGUAUCAUUAGAUGGACAUUAAGAAAAUGUAGUUUAAAUAUAUGACUAGCAGAAGAAAUUUGUGAAGCUUAUUCAGUUUUGGAGGACAGUAGAGUUUUAUCCCCUUUGGGGACCUGGGUGAGGAGGAUUUUAAGGAGAACCCACAGACGUUCCUAGGUUUCACUCCUGGCUUUGACACCUACUAUCUAUGUGCCCUUGGGCAAGGCAUGCCACCUUUCUGGAGCUUAGUUUCCUUGUUCAUAAAAUGAGAGAUAGAUUCCCAACUCUAGGACUGUCCUGGGGAUAAAUAUUGAGUUGACACAUGUGAAGCACUUACCUCCGUAUGUGACAUAUAAUUGAGGAUGCAUACAUAUCGACUAUGUUUUUUUCCAUAAGUUUCCUUGUUCAGCAUUUUCUUUUAGUGACUUGGGGACAACAGCCUCUGUGGAUCGGAAAAUUUCAAAACUCUCUCUUGAUCCCUUGUUGGAUAAUACCCUCUCUCGUAAUAAUAAUUUCAUUGGCACAAUUACCAAAUAACCACCAUUUGUUUUGUAUUUUACUGUGGUCCCUUAGUUCAAAGAAGCCUGAGAAUGAUUGAUCUGGUGAAAGUACGCAUUUAUACAUUUAAAUAAAUAGGGUACAGCACACUAUGAGGACCACAGUCAUUUGGACAUCCACUGUUUUCCAGGAUUGGUGGGCAGAGAGCUAAAAGCAAUGCAAUCUCUGUCCGCAAGGAACUUACAGUUUGAUGGAGAACAUGAAGUAGAAAUAAGACUGCAAAGGGUUAAUGAACUUUGACUGAAGGCUCCAGCUGUAGCUGAGCAGGAGGGUAGCUUAUGCUGGGCCCCCACUGUCGACUUGUAAUUUGUUGGAAUUUGUUGGGUGCAGUUGGUUUUUGUUGAAUAAGGUCAAGUUGAAUGGGGUUGUAUCGUGUUGGUGGUGAGGUUGUGCUAAGCUGGGUUGUAUAGGUUUAUUUCAGUUGAAUGGAUGUGAAUUGAGUCAGGUUAAGUAGAGGGUAGGGGCCUUUUCCCGCUCUGACACUCAGUUUCUUCUACUGUAGAAUGGGGAUCAUGGGGCAUAGAAGACAUCCUUGUUGGUUGUUGUGGAGAUUCGGUGAGAGAGUGGUCAGUUCUUAAAGCGUUUGUCUGCCUUGAGUCGUGAAGAGUACAUUUGUUAGAAUCCACAUUCCGUUAUGAGAAAUACACAUUCCAUCAUCUGAACUACUGGACAAGCGCUUGAGGCUCUCAGGCACACAAAUGGCCCCAUGUGAACAGUUUGGCCACCACCAUCUCUCUGGCUGCCAGAUUGCCUGCGGCAGGAGUUGCGGCUGACCCUAAGUCCUUAGACUGGGGCUCACGUCUAAGUCACAUUUGCUGUACCGGGCCUGCCAGGACAGCUGUUUCCAAAGUCAACUGCAUUCCCUGCCGAGAAGCCAGGGCUGAAUUCUUCAUCACAGUCUGGCUGUGGGUUAGGCGUUAUAAAUAAUGCCGUGCUGACAGCCAGGUGGACCGCAUGGCUAACUGGAUGAUGUUUCAUUGGUCCUGACAGGGACAGCCCUGCAAAUAGAAUCUGAGUGGUGGCAGGCCCCUUGGAGUCAUCGUGCGUGCCCUUCCACUGAGUCUGGUGGGACCCUCUUCAGCUCAUCUCAGACUGGAAGAUGCCUGCCUUUUUUUGUUUCUUAUACGUCUCCAUGGAGAAAGGGAAACUCUCCCCAGGACACUGUAUUUUUCUUUUGGCAGUGGUUGGUGCAGGGUUAAAACAUUCUGGAGUCCCGUCUGUGUUCAGAUCUGGAUUGAGCUACUCACAAGCUGUGUGACCUCAGGCAAGUUACCAAACCUCUCUGAGCCUCAGUUCCUUACCGUUAAGAUAAAAGAGAAGAAUGGUGUCCAGGUCCAAGAGUUGAUGUGGGUUUUGGAUGGAAUAAGGAUCACAGGAUCAAAUGCUCUGGGAAUGGGAGGUGUGAUUUCGUGGGGGAUACCAGGUUGUCAAGGACAAUUGCUCUGCCACCUCCCUUGGUGUGCGUGGGAAUGGUGAGAGUUGCUCAUCACUCAGGACAGGUAUAGCUCUGUCUGAUUCCAGGGCUAGAUAAGACCCCCUCCGAAGGGCCACUCCAGUGCCGGUGUCCUCGUCUCCUGGGCCCUACCCAGGAGGCAGAGUAGCACAAUGGGAGGACACAGGACUGAGGACCAGGGUUCGAUUCCUGGCUGGGUGACCUUAGUACAUCAACUGCUUUCUGUGGGCCAUAGCUGGUGGGGAAAGCCCUGGAUAGAGCUUUAAAAAAUAGCCAUAUUUGUGGUUUUUAAAACCACCCUGCAGGGAACAGAAGGGCCUCAGAUGUGGUUGUGCUCACCCCCAUGCCCAGCCUCCCUUAAAAAUAGAUUUGUGGCUAAACACAGUGGUUCAUGCCUGUCAUCUCAGCACUUUGGGAGGCUGAGGCAAAGGGUUGCUUGAGGCCACAGUUCUAGGUCAGCUUGGGCAAUGUAGUGAGACCCCAUCUCUACAAAAAAUAUUUUAAAAAUUAGCCAGGCAUGGUGGAGCACGUCUGUAGUCUCCGCUACUCAGAAGGCAGAAACAAGAGAUCGCUUGGGCUCAGGAAUGUGAGGCUGCCAUGAGCUAUGGUGUCACACCACAACACUCCAGCCUGGGUGACAGAGCGAGACCUCAUCUCUAAAACGUUAAAAAUCAAAAACAGAUUUGUGCUCUAAGGAGAAAAGCUUAACAAGCUGCUGUUGCCAGCAGACUCUAGGUUUACUUGGAGGAAGUGAGGGUUGUAUCCUACCUCCGACAGCAUGGCUCUCAAAGGCACCCGAAAGUAAGCAUCCUCCCUGGCUCCCCAUUGCUUGUUGGAAGUCAGGCCUUUGCUGAGCCCUCAAGGCUUCUCCAACCUGACCUUCCCCCUCCAGCUCAUUCCCACACUUUGGAAUCAACUCCAGGCCGUUGUGUGACUGCUUUGACGUGGUCCGGCAUUUCCUUUCAUUCACUGCAAUUCCCUCUACCUUGAAGGCUGUUCCUCUGCUUCUCCAUGGAGUCCCAUUCUUUACUUACUCUUCUAGACCACAUUGAAAUAUCCUCUCACAUCAGAAGGUUUCUAUUUUGAGCCCUCUAGGGAGAGGUAAGCAAUUAUUGAUACUUUCCAAUGCUGCAUUUGUAGAAUGCUUACUAUGUGCCAGAAUUAGGGAUAAAGAGUGAACAAAAAGAGACACAGUGUCUAACUUCAUGGAGUUUCUAGUCCUGCUGGAAACAGAGUUAGUCAAAUACAGACACCAUCGUGUAUGUAUUUAGAAAUCCAUAUUAAUGCCCCUAAUGAAACAAGUUCCAGCAGAAUUUAACAAGGGAUCUGAUUGAAUUGGUGUAUUGGGAAAGGCUUCGCUAAAGAAGGGAUGCUGAAGCUUCAGGUCCAGUUAGCCAGGUGAGUGGGGAGUAGGGAGGGCAGCAUGUGCAAAGGUUCUAUGGCAGGAAUGAUGGUGUACGGUGACGGCUUAUCUUGGUCUACCCCAGGCAGUCCCUUGUGUCCUGGCUUAUGGAUUAAUAGCAUUCUCUUUCGUUCCCCAAAGUAGCCUGGUUUGGAAGGUAAAUUCUGUGGUUGACUAACUGAAUGAAAAGAAGCCUGGAGUGUCAGGACUACCAUGUGGAAGAGGAUUGGCAGGGACUGAACUACAUGCCCAGUGAAGGCUGGAGAUGGAGGUCAUUAUCUCGCCUGAGAAUGAUGAGAUACCACUGAAGGGUUUCAGGCACAGUGUGCCAGGAUCUUCCCUACUUUCUUUUUUUUUUUUUUGAGAUGGAGUCUUGUUCAGUCACCCAGGUGGGAGUGGUGCAGUGGUGCAGUCUCAGCUCACUGCAACCCCCGCCUCCUGGCUUCAAGCGAUUCUCCUGCCUCAGCCUCCUGAGUAGCUGGGAUUACAGGUGCAUGCCACCUGUAAUUUUUGUGUUUUUAGUAGAGAUGGGUUUUCACCAUGUUGGUCAGGCUGGUCUCGAACUCCUGACCUUGUGAUCUGCCCACUUCAGCCUCCCAAAGUGUUGGGAUCACAGGCGUGAGCUGCUGUAACCGGCCAAUCUUCUCUACUUUUCAAAACCACAUCUGCCUUCUCUGUUCUCUCUGUUUUUGGCUACUGCUCUCUUGAGAAUCCACCCUGCAUAUUAUGGGUUGUUGUUUUCCAUAGUUCUUCUCUCCCUAGACUGUGAGGUUUGGGAGGGACAGAAGGAACCCCUCCUGGACGAUGCUCCAUGUUCUUCUCCUUCCCGCUUGCUGGAUGUUGGAUAGGAAGAAAUUUAUGGAGGAUCUUCCAUGGCUUCAGCACUGGAGCUUCAUUGGGUAGUUGGUGUGAACAAUAAACAAACUUCUAUCAUGUCUGAGCCAUCAUAAACGACUUAAAAACAGUGAAAGGGAAAAUGCUAGCUACUGUGCAUUGAGCUCACGGCCUGUGUUAAGCUUGCAUACUUUAUACUUACUAUUGAAUUUCAUCACGAGACUAUUUACUUCAUGGAUAAGGAAACAAAGAUUGAGAGAAGUGACUUGCCCAAGGCACCACAGUGAAUGAGCAGAGGAGCUGGGAUUUAAACCCAGGAAUGUCCGACUUAAAGCCAAAGCUCUUAAAACAGCAACUGUGAAAUUAGCAGCCCCCAAUUUCUCUAUCUGUGGGAGCAGCGAGAAUCUCCCCACCCUGUGGAUCCAGGGAUGAGGCUGGUCGUUGUCCUGCUAGGCAGAGCUUGACCAGGCAGAGGCUGGGGUAGGGGAGGUGUGUGGGAGAGACAGGGGCGACCCUCACCUGCAGUCCUAGCCUCUGAUCCCAUGUCUACGUCAAGUACCCAGCUCAGACAGGGGAUGGUGGUAUUUCUUUCACCCGCCUGCAGUUUGGCAGGUUCCUCAAAGAGAAAUGCUCUUAGAUUCAUUUAAAAGUCUAAGCAGGGACCGCACAAAUUAUUAGUGUUUGAAAUAUUUAUAAAGUCUCUUGUUUGCCAUGGCAUAGGAGGUGAUAGACCACAAAUAAGAGAAAACCGCAGAUGCACCAGGCAUGGAGAGAGACGGAGAGGAAUGCUGUCUGCCUGCCGCCGCCACCUCAUGUUUGAAGGCUGCUAAGCCCAGUGAAUUUCCAUUCUGCGUUUUCUCAAACUGACUUCCUUUCUACAGCUCCGUUCACUCUCCCUCCUUCAGACAAUCACCAGAUACUUAAAUGGAGGAUUUCAACCCCACAAACCAAGAACAUUAGGGCAAGUUGGGGUAAAGACAGAAGAGAACACACUGCUUUUAUUUUUGCUUUUUGAGAAAGUUUCACUCCUGUCACCCAGGCUGGAGUGCAAUGGCAUGAUCACGGCUCACUGCAACCUGUGCCUCCUGGGCUUAAGCAAUUCUCUUGCCUCAGCCUCCCAAGUAGUUGCAAGUACAGAUGCACGCCACCAUGGCUGGCUAACUUUUAUAUGUUUAUAGAGACAGGGUUUUGCUAUGUUGCCCAGGCUGGUCUUGAACUCCUGGGCUCAAGCGAUCUGCCCACCUCAGCCUCCGAAAGUGCUGGGAUUACAGGUAUGAGCCACUGCACCUGGCCAGGAACACUGUCUUAAAAUUUUUUCUGGGAGUCUAAAAUGAUAUCAAAAUUUAAAAUUAAAAAAAUCACACAACAUAAACUUAUAUAGCAUUUAAGUUUAUGGGGGAAAAAAACACGGAGAAAAAUAAAUGUGCUCUUCUGAUUUGACAGAUGGGAAAACCAAAGUCACCCAGUGAGUCAAGGAUGAAAACCAAGGUCGUCCGUCUGACUUCCAGCCCGGAGGUCCGUCCCUUUUUGCUGAUCUUUGACCACUGAAUGUACGUGCUAAUAAUUUAGAAAGAGGUGCUUAGGUCCUGAUUUGGGAAUUACAUAGUUUGAAUUUAUUCAUUGAUGUGCAUACAUACACAUAUGCAUUUAUAUACAGGUAUAUGCAUAUAUUCACUCAGAUCUAUGAAUGAAUGAAUGAACUCAUUUGUUCAUUUAUUUACUAACUCAACAAAUACUAUACUAUGUGCAAGAGAUGCAGCAGUGAGCAAGAGAGAUUUGGCCCUGCGUUUCCUGAGCUAGUAAAAGACAUGGUUUCAGGUGACGUCUCACGCUUCCAGUUGAUCCCAGAGGAGCUCUGGAGUGUGAGCUGCACCCCAGAGUUGUUCUGCCUUGGAGUAAGAGGCUGGCCUUUUAUACCCUUGUAAUAGUCAAUUAUUGGCUGCAUGACACCAGUGUAGCCAAUUGGUGUAGAGGGGAGGAUGUACCCUCCACAGGAUUUCCGGGUAAGGCAGCUCCUGUCCGCGGAGGGCAGGGUUAGCUGUGAGGUGCUGCUGUCUUAGCAGCCAACAGUCACCACAGCCAUUGCUGGACUUAUCAAUGUCCAUUACUAGUUUAAUGUACAUUUAAUGUACAACCAAGGGGAUUGGAUACAUUGAUCUUUCAGAGGGGAUCUGAGUGAGGCAGGAAUGGCAUCUACUACAUGAGAAACGGAGCUUUAUCAUACUGGGAAGGUGGGGGAGACAGUCCGUAAUUCAUACUUCUAUGUGAUCUCAAUUUGAGGCAUGAGGGAGCUAGACUAUUUACCCCCUGACUCCUGGCAGCCCUUACCGAAGGUGGCUCCCAGGGGAGGUUAAUUCUCAGCAUGGCCAGUGUGCAGCUACAGAGAGCUCCAGCAGCAGACAGAGCCACAUGCUAGAAGGUAGAGGUUGGGCAGAUGUGCUCAGAUGUGGCCGUGUGGGAUGCCAAGAUCAUCUGCUCCUGGUGGCCUGGACCAAUCAGACGUAUCCCUCAGAAAUGUGGAAUGAGGAAGCUGGUGGAUGCUUGGAGUCUCAGGUCAGCCGAGACACAAGAGCAAGGAAAUUACAACUGAGGCUGGAGUGGUCAUCAUGACCUUUUGUGUGAUGAAAAUGUAUGGGCAUGAAGGAGAGAAAACUGAGGCUCAGAGAGGUUGCAUCAGUCAUCCAAGGCCACACAGAGCUGGUAAGGAGCAGAGAUGGGACCUCGGUUACUGGUGGACUUUAUUGUCGAGGAUGGCGAUGGGAAGGAGAGCACCUGUGCCGCUGACCUUGGUUCUGAAACAUCAGUGGGCACUGGAGCUGAGCUGCUCUUUGGAAUGCUGGUUCUCCAAUGAUCAUGCCCAUCCUGCCUCCCCCAGGAAUCUGAAAGUGAGAGAAGAGAAAGCGGGUAAAGGGCAUGGAAGGGGGAUGCAGAGAGACAGUGAGAGAGAGGAUCAGAGUCUUUGGGAAGAAUCCAGCCCCUGAAAGAUUGCUCUGGGGGAAAGGGGACUUGAUUUGAUAUGUAUUUUGAAUAACACUGUUGCUAGGGAAAGUGGUUUUCUUCUCAUUAGUUGGAAUAGGGACGUUCAGUUUUCCCCCUUGUCACCACGUUAGUGGUUGGAAACCUGUUUUCUGUCUCUUUAUUCAAAGAGGUGUCUCAUUAUUCCUCCCUUACAGGUUGGUUUUGGGGAGUCUGGGAAAGAAUAUCAACAAAUCUAAACACGGUGCUUGCACAUAUGGGUGUUGAGUGCAGGUCCUCUAGUCCUCCUGGUCUUGUCAGUGGCCUCUGCCCAUAUUUGCUCCGGCCAGGCUGAUAAUGCCUAGCCAGUCCCUAACCCAGAAUGUGGGUUUUCUGGGAAUAAUUUCUGCAGCCCAGCCACCCAAGUUCAUUUGCAAUGCGGGCAUUUCCUGCCAUAAAGCUCCAAGCUGCUUGGAAGAGUUAGGCAUCACAUUUCCCUGCAUUCAGAAGUGCCUGGAGUAAGGAUCAUGUUCCGAUGGCGGCAUGUAAAUGCCUCUUUCAAGAGAGGAAAUUGCUUUGAAGUUACUAUUUCCCUGGCUUUGAUAAUAAUCUGCUUAAUGUCUUGUGUCAAACUAAUUACGGCAUAAUUACCUUUUUUAAUAACAGGUACUUUUAAUUGGUGCAGGGUUAAACAAUUCUGUUGUAAAAAUCGGUUGUUUUACAUUCAUGGCUAUAGUUUACAAAGAACUGGGACAACCUUGUAAUAUUAAACACUCCAUAGAGCUGGGAUGGGGGAUAAAUGAAGGUACCACCAUGGCUCCUCUCCAUGACAUUGAACCCUUUUCCUUGCAAUGCUUCCCCUUCUCACAGACAUAAUUUCUUAUGCCAAACUCUUGGGAAAGGGAGGAAGGGUGCUGUUAGGGCCACAUGUGUUCACAUCCAUCAUCUUGCUUCUUUCUCACAUGUCCAUGCACAAAACCAUGGGAAAGAGGUAUUGCUAUCUCCAUUGUGAGGAUGGGUAAAUUGAGACUUAGAGAGGUUAAGCAACGUGAUCCAAAUCACAAUGUCAAAUGACUGAAUCAGACUUUGACCUCAUGCCUCUUGCUUCCAAGUCCCAAGGUAUUUUUUUUUUUCUUUUUGAGAUGGAGUCUCACUCUGUUGCCCAGGCUGGAGUGCAGUGGCGCAAUCUUGUUUCACGGCAACCUCUGCCUCCUGGGUUCAAGCAAUUCUCCUACCUCAGCC